GCAAGUCGUACGAAGUUUUAGAAGCUUGCUUUUAAAACUUAGUGGCGCACGGGUGAGUAACGCGUAGAUAACCUGCCUUGGAAAUCGGGACAACGCCUGGAAACGUGUGCUAAUACCGGAUAAUCUCUGGAACUUAAUUGGGAAAGAGGAAAGCUGCCCUCUAUUUAUAAGGUAGCGUUCUAAGAGGGGUCUGCGUCCUAUUAGCUAGUUGGUGUGGUAACAGCGCACCAAGGCGAAGAUGGGUAGCUGGUUUGAGAGGAUGAUC
rnacentral:rRNA from 1 species